CGAAAGGAACGCUAAUACCGCAUACGUCCUACGGGAGAAAAGCAGGGGACCUUCGGGCCUUGCGCUAUCAGAUGAGCCUAGGUCGGAUUAGCUAGUUGGUGAGGUAAUGGCUCACCAAGGCGACGAUCCGUAACUGGUCUGAGAGGAUGAUCAGUCACACUGGAACUGAGACACGGUCCAGACUCCUACGGGAGGCAGCAGAA
rnacentral:rRNA from 1 species